rnacentral:rRNA from 1 species
AUGAACGCUGGCGGCGUGCCUAAUCCAUGCAAGUCGAGCGAACAGACGAGGAGCUUGCUCCUCUGACGUUAGCGGCGGACGGGUGAGUAACACGUGGAUAACCUACCUAUAAGACUGGGAUAACUUCGGGAAACCGGAGCUAAUACCGGAUAAUAUAUUGAACCGCAUGGUUCCAUAGUGAAAGACGGUUUUGCUGUCACUUAUAGAUGGAUCCGCGCCGCAUUAGCUAGUUGGUAAGGUAACGGCUUACCAAGGCAACGAUGCGUAGCCGACCUGAGAGGGUGAUCGGCCACACUGGAACUGAGACACGGUCCAGACUCCUACGGGAGGCAGCAGUAGGGAAUCUUCCGCAAUGGGCGAAAGCCUGACGGAGCAACGCCGCGUGAGUGAUGAAGGUCUUCGGAUCGUAAAACUCUGUUAUUAGGGAAGAACAAAUGUGUAAGUAACUAUGCACGUCUUGACGGUACCUAAUCAGAAAGCCACGGCUAACUACGUG